GCCUAUCGGGUGUCCUACCACACUCCAUACCCGUUAACUAGCGUGGAAAUCCUGAACGAGCUGCAGGCCCUCCGCUCUUCCGUUUUCCCCCAUGCCGCUGAGGAGUUCCGUGCUGGAGUUCAGGCCCCCGGAGACCAUGCUCCUCCCCCUGCCGAUUCGGCCACAGAGUGCAAGCUUUGCCCCGACGAGCACGAAUUGGUCGCCACAGCCAACAUUCUCCCUACAGACCAGUUCCCUAUCUCGCCCCACCUCUCGACAUCCACUAUCGUCCCAAUUCGGCCAGAUCCACAUCGGAGUCCAAGCUCCACCCCGACGAGCAUGAAGCGUUCGCCAGAGUCAAGAUCCUCCCCCGCCGAGCAGUUCCCCAACUCGCCCCACCGCUCAAGAUCCACUUCUCUGCUCUCAUGCGUUCAGUCAAUAGCUAACAGGUAUGAGUUCAUACCUCCUCUUGAAAUCUGAAUCAAGAUGACGAGUGACGAAUCUAAUCUCCGUUCGUAUAUGCAAUUGGAUCAAGAGAGUAUACGUGCAUGGCUGCAUCUGAUUGGUCAUGUUAUUUUCUUCUUCUUUUCAGGCAGAUAUCUCUUUCUAGAUACCACACAUGCAGCGAUUAUGGAUCUAGCAUUACAUUUCUGUUGGCCAAAUUUAUAUUUCUCAUGUAUGCAUAUGUAUGUCUGCAUACUCCCGGCCUCUUGCCUUCUAAUUCUAACCAUGUAUAUAGAUAUACUACCAGGAAAUAUACUACCAGAAUCAAUAAUCAAGAAUUAAGAGUAUGCUUAGAUACUGUUUUUAAAUAUGAGUAUGUUUAGAUACCUUUCCAGAUCAGUGUAUGUUUGCAUACUUUUGUUCAUCAUAGGAUCAUUUGAUACUUUUCAUAUUACUGUACAACUUAUAAUAUUUUUUCUGAUAGGUUUGGAAUCAUGAUUUUUAUGAAGGGUUCAAAUAUACGAGGGAUGAGUAUGGCACAGUAAAGUAGCAAGUUAGUUUAUAGCUGAAGCUAUCCUUGUAGGGACUGCAUAUAUAUUCAGUUUAGAAACUUUUGUCAGCAUGUAGUAGAUGCAGUAGAAUUACAUAUCAGUUUGUAUAUACAUUAUAGAGUUACUACAAUCAACUAAUUAAUGGACCCGUCUCAUGAAAUCAGAAGCCAGUAUAUAUAUAUAUAGCAAAGGGAGUAUAUACUUUUACUCCCUUGUAAAAAGAUGUACAAAUACUCAUCAGAAUUAUAUACACCAUAUAAUCUACUAGCUCGUCAAAAGUAUGCACGCAUACUAGCAUACUAUUUUUUCUCCUCAAUCCUCAUUUAGUUAGUGUUAGACACUUAUUUUAAUGUGCAUGUACUGAUACUCGUCAAAAAGUAUAUGUCUAUAGGUGUAAGAAAGUAUGUCCGCGUACUAUUUUAAAUUUAUACUCCUAAAACGCUAUAUAUACUCUAUAAUCAAAUUUCAUGUGUAUAUAAAUCUACUCGCAAAUACAUGUAUACAAAUAUACUCAUUUCAUUUAUUGAAAUAUGUGUCCAUACUUUAUUAACGGAAAGUAUAUACCAGUACGUACGCUCGGGAGCAGCUCACGGAAACCCG
rnacentral:lncRNA from 1 species